rnacentral:rRNA from 1 species
CUACGUGUUGCUGCAGUGGGGAAUAUUGGACAAUGGGGGAAACCCUGAUCCAGCAAUGCCGCGUGUGUGAAGAAGGCCUGCGGGUUGUAAAGCACUUUCGGUUGGGAGGACUGCUUCUAGCACUAAUAUUGUUGGAAGUUGACGUUACCUUCAGAAGAAGCACCGGCUAACUCCGUGCCAGCAGCCGCGGUAAUACGGAGGGUGCAAGCGUUAAUCGGAAUUACUGGGCGUAAAGCGCGCGUAGGCGGCUAGAUCAGUCGGGUGUGAAAGCCCCGGGCGUAACCUGGGAACUGCAUCCGAUACUGUCUAGCUUGAGUACAGGAGAGGAGAGUGGAAUUCCACAUGUAGCGGUGAAAUGCGUAGAUAUGUGGAGGAACACCAAUGGCGAAGGCAGCUCUCUGGCCUGAUACUGACGCUGAGGUGCGAAAGCGUGGGGAGCAAACAGUAUUAGAUACCCCGGUAGUC